AGUGUUGUUUGCGUAGAAAGAGAGAAAAAAUGGGAGGGAAUUUUCCGCUAUUUUUACCAACAAAUUUAGCCUGUCAGUAAGUGAAAUAUGCAUUAUUGAUAGAUUUUAGUUAUCAAUAAUUAUCAAAAGAUUUAUCGACGAAUUUUGUUUGUCGAUAAUUACCAAAAGAUCCAUCGGUAAUUGCAAUAUGCAUUACCAAAGGACUUACCGACAGAUUCUGACCGUUGGUAAUUAUCGAAGGAUUUAC
rnacentral:lncRNA from 1 species